rnacentral:ncRNA from 1 species
GUCUUCGGGGCAGGGUGUAAAUCCCUACCGGCGGUAGAGUCCGCGAACCUGAUUCAUUUGAUAUGAUGAUGGCCGAUCCGGUGAGAUUCCGGAACCGACAGUUAAAGUCUGGAUGGAAGAAGAU